CACGUAGGCGGAUACUUAAGUCAGGGUGAAAUCCGGGCUCAACCCCGGAACUGCCUUUGAUACUGGGUAUCUCGAGUCCGGAAGAGGUGAGUGGAAUUCCGAGUGUAGAGGUGAAAUUCGUAGAUAAUUCGGAGGAACACCAGUGGCGAAGGCGGCUCACUGGUCCGGUACUGACGCUGAGGUGCGAAAGCGUGGGGAGCAAACA
rnacentral:rRNA from 1 species